CAGCUGACGAGUCCAAAAUAGGACGAAACACGCGUCAAACUG
rnacentral:hammerhead_ribozyme from 1 species